ACAGAGAAAAAAGUUGAGCAACUUCUUAGAUUGACAGUAGAAUAUAGAUGCUCUUAUGCCACAACUUUACCAAAGCAUAGUAGAGUAGAGGAUAUGAUAGGGACAUAUCCAGUAUUUAAGAGUACUGACAUACUCAUCACCAACCUUCUUGCAACCAUCAAUUUGGAGGAAAAUAUAAUUUCUCAUAAACUCCUUGAAAAAAAUUUGAAAAGAAUGUCUACAGAGAUAUUGGACUUGGUGUAUUCAAAAAACCUCACCACUGUUCCUAGAUCAGCACUGAAAUCAGAAGAUCAGCAAAUACUUGUGGCAAUGGCCCAACUGCCUUUAAUUCUCGACAAGAGAGAAAAGGGGAAAAGUGUGCCAGUACCACAACUAGUACACAUUGUAAAGAAAGACGAGAUGUGGCAAGAAAUAGCUGCUAAGCAAUAGAACUCCACAUCACCAUGGAUAAUGUACCAACGACAUGGCGACCAAGAAAUCAUAACCGUUAUGAUUAAACAGUCUAUGAUUAAAAAGGCCUCAUCAGCAGUUAAUGCAGUGCUGGCAUUGAUGGGUAUAUAUUACAUGGCAAUGUUGCCAUACCCUUCAAAUUGCAGCGCGGCUCUGCUGUACAUACAAGGACAAGUCCUGCUGGAUGAAGUUCACAGCAAAGACAAAAGUGUAUUUAACAAGGCAAAGGAAAUUUUCGAAAACUUCGUUUUGAAAGAAGUUGAUUUAUUUGCAUGAAAUCAACAUUGAUGUUUAACUAUGAGACUGACUUGUUUUAUUUGUAGGUGUACCACAUAAUUUUUCAUAUUUUGGGAUAACAGAUUUAUUGAUUAGUUUAUAAUAUUUAAGAUACAGAAAUAGUAACACACUGUCUUUUGCGUUAUUAAAAUUAAAAUCUCCAAAUAAUCUGUUGCAUUUGUGAUCUUGAAAAUAUAAUUCUUAAAUUAACAAUUAAGCAGGUCUGUAAAUGUUAUUCAUCCAAAUAACUUACUUUUAUGCAACAUAAUUCAAUUUUUCAUUUUCUUUUCUGCUUGAAGCAUGUAAAAAUAUAUAUUUUUUAUUACUACUAUACAUGAGCUGUUAAAUUCAUGUAAAUAGAUUUGACCCAAAUUAUUAUUUUUAUUUAUAACAUACUAAAAAUAAUAUCCAGAUUUAAAAAAGUGCUGGGCAAAAGUAACAAUUAAUAAUACAAUGUACUUUUGGCAUUGGCUUGUGAAAAUGCAUCUGCAUUUGUACUUAUUUUAGACAAGACCCAAUUUUAUAUAUCAAAAUGACCUCCUUUUAGGCUGCAAACCACCAUAUAACCUUAUAUCAAAGUAAAUUUAAAUAGAUAGCAUUUACAAUCAGAUUUUAUUCUGUAUGUUAUAAACAUAUGUAAAAUUUAAUCAUAGUUUUACCUGUAU